GUCACGGACUCGGUCUUUUGGCUAAGAUAAAGUGUACUAUCUGUUCUUUUCAGCAUAAAAUCUGGUCACGGACUAUUGACUACAUCCGUGACCACGAAAACUGUAAAUUAGUUUUUGUUAAUAAAAUUAAGAAUACUGUUUCAUUAAAAUAGAUAUUUAUUUUACCUUGAGUCCCGAAGCCAAGCGGCACUCGGGUGGUCUU